rnacentral:misc_RNA from 1 species
AACGCACAUUGCGCCCGCUAGUAUUCUGGCGGGCAUGCCUGUUCGAGCGUCAUUUCAACCCUCAAGCACUGCUUGGCGUUGGGGUCUUAUAGCGGUUAUAAGCCCUAAAAGUUAGUGGCGGGCUCGCUAGUGUUCCGAGCGUAGUAGUAUAUUUCGUUCUGGAGGCCUGGCGGGUUCUUGCCGUUAAACCACCUAUAAUAAAGGUUGACCUCGGAUCAGGUAGGAAUACCCGCUGAACUUAA